rnacentral:rRNA from 1 species
AGUGAACGCUGGCGGUAGGCCUAACACAUGCAAGUCGAACGGCAGCACAGUAAGAGCUUGCUCUUACGGGUGGCGAGUGGCGGACGGGUGAGGAAUACAUCGGAAUCUACUUUUUCGUGGGGGAUAACGUAGGGAAACUUACGCUAAUACCGCAUACGACCUACGGGUGAAAGCAGGGGAUCUUCGGACCUUGCGCGAUUGAAUGAGCCGAUGUCGGAUUAGCUAGUUGGCGGGGUAAAGGCCCACCAAGGCGACGAUCCGUAGCUAGUCUGAGAGGAUGAUCAGCCACACUGGAACUGAGACACGGUCCAGACUCCUACGGGAGGCAGCAGUGGGGAAUAUUGGACAAUGGGCGCAAGCCUGAUCCAGCCAUACCGCGUGGGUGAAGAAGGCCUUCGGGUUGUAAAGCCCUUUUGUUGGGAAAGAAGAGCAGCAGGUUAAUACCCCGCUGUUCUGACGGUACCCAAAGAAUAAGCACCGGCUAACUUCGUG